rnacentral:rRNA from 1 species
AUACGUAGGGAGCGAGCGUUGUCCGGAAUUACUGGGUGUAAAGGGAGCGUAGGCGGGAGUGCAAGUCAGAUGUGAAAUACAUGGGCUCAACCCAUGGGCUGCAUUUGAAACUGCAUUUCUUGAGUGAAGUAGAGGGAAGCGGAAUUCCUGGUGUAGCGGUGAAAUGCGUAGAUAUCAGGAGGAACACCGGUGGCGAAGGCGGCUUACUGGGCUUUUACUGACGCUGAGGCUCGAAAGCGUGGGGAGCAAACAGGAUUAGAUACCCUGGUAGUCCACGCUGUAAACGAUGAUUACUAGGUGUGGGGGGACUGACCCCUUCCGUGCCGCAGUUAACACAAUAAGUAAUCCACCUGGGGAGUACGGCCGCAAGGUUGAAACUCAAAUGAAUUGACGGGG